rnacentral:rRNA from 1 species
GCUUACGGCCAUACCAGCCUGGGUACGCCCGAACUCGUCUGAUCUCGGAAGCUAAGCAGGGUCGGGCCUGGUUACUACUUGGAUGGGAGACCGCCUGGGAAUACCAGGUGCUGUAAGCA